UCCGUUGGUGAAACCAGCGGAGGGAUCAUUACCGAGUUUACAACUCCCAAACCCCUGUGAACAUACCACUUGUUGCCUCGGCGGAUCAGCCCGCUCCCGGUAAAACGGGACGGCCCGCCAGAGGACCCCUAAACUCUGUUUCUAUAUGUAACUUCUGAGUAAAACCAUAAAUAAAUCAAAACUUUCAACAACGGAUCUCUUGGUUCUGGCAUCGAUGAAGAACGCAGCAAAAUGCGAUAAGUAAUGUGAAUUGCAGAAUUCAGUGAAUCAUCGAAUCUUUGAACGCACAUUGCGCCCGCCAGUAUUCUGGCGGGCAUGCCUGUUCGAGCGUCAUUUCAACCCUCAAGCACAGCUUGGUGUUGGGACUCGCGUUAAUUCGCUUCCUCAAAUUGAUUGGCGGUCACGUCGAGCUUCCAUAGCGUAGUAGUAAAACCCUCGUUACUGGUAAUCGUCGCGGCCACGCCGUUAAACCCCAACUUCUGAAUGUUGACCUCGGAUCAGGUAGGAAUACCCGCUGAACUUAAGCAUAUCA
rnacentral:rRNA from 1 species